rnacentral:rRNA from 1 species
AUUGAACGCUGGCGGCAGGCUUAACACAUGCAAGUCGAGCGGGGUGAUGGUGCUUGCACUGUCACUUAGCGGCGGACGGGUGAGUAAUGCUUAGGAAUCUGCCUAUUAGUGGGGGACAACAUCUCGAAAGGGAUGCUAAUACCGCAUACGUCCUACGGGAGAAAGCAGGGGAUCACUUGUGACCUUGCGCUACUAGAUGGGCCUAAGUCGGAUUAGCUAGUUGGUGGGGUAAAGGCCUACCAAGGCGACGAUCUGUAGCGGGUCUGAGAGGAUGAUCCGCCACACUGGGACUGAGACACGGCCCAGACUCCUACGGGAGGAAGCAGUGGGGAAUAUUGGACAAUGGGGGGAACCCUGAUCCAGCCAUGCCGCGUGUGUGAAGAAGGCCUUAUGGUUGUAAAGCACUUUAAGCGAGGAGGAGGCUACUUUAGUUAAUACCUAGAGAUAGUGGACGUUACUCGCAGAAUAAGCACCGGCUAACUCUGUGCCAGCCGCCGCGGUAA